AGUUACGUGAAGAGGAGAACAAAGUCCAGGCAGGGCCGGGGAAGCUCGUGCCAAGGCACUGAGGGGAAGUGCUGCAAUGAACCUCAGAGGCUGGAUCUUGCUGACUCAUCUGGGGUGCCAAGGACAGGUAAAGGACAUGGAGUCCAGGACCAGGAGGGGACACCAGGCCAGCAGUUUCACUGAUGCUCCCGUCAUGACGAUGACUGCCUCCCUCCUCCCCUUGGUCCCUGACUCAGUGUCUGCAGUCACCAGGCACCAGGCAGGGAGCAAGAAACCAAGCCUUUCACCUGCUCCCACCAACUCCUAUGGUGCUCCCUUUCCAAGCCUAGGUCUCCUCUCCACCCGGUUCCUUAUCAGGUACCCUGAGAAGCUGUCACCUUGGCAACUGUCACCUUCUGGUGAGAUUUACAAUUGCACUGCUACAUCUGCUGUGGCAUGGUAAAGUUGCACCAGGACCUCUGCUGUCCAUGAGAUCAAAGCUCCAGGCCAACAGACAGGUUUCACUAUGUUGCCUAGGCUGGUCUCAAACUCCUGGGUUCAAACAAUGCUCCUGCCUUGGCUUCUCAAAGUACCAGGAUUAUAGGCACGAGCCACUGUGCCAGGCCCAAACCGAGCUUCUGAGUGAAAAAAUUUCUGCUGCCCUCCCCCCAGCUUCAGGAAGUGGGAGUCAACUCCAAUCACUGCGGUGAUGCAGAGAAAAUACGGCUGAUAAACCGCUUAUUUUUCUC